rnacentral:rRNA from 1 species
ACGCUCGACACCUACGGGAGGCGGCAGUGGGGAAUAUUGCACAAUGGAGGGAAACUCUGAUGCAGCGACGCCGCGUGAGGGAAGAAGGUCUUCGGAUUGUAAACCUCUGUUGUCAGGGACGAUGAUGACGGUACCUGACGAGGAAGCCACGGCUAACUACGUGUCAGCAGCCGCGGUAAUCUGAGCGGGCUGGCAAGGC